AACGAACGCUGGCGGCAGGCUUAACACAUGCAAGUCGAGCGCCCCGCAAGGGGAGCGGCAGACGGGUGAGUAACGCGUGGGAAUCUACCCAUCUCUACGGAAUAACGCAUGGAAACGUGUGCUAAUACCGUAUACGUCCUUAGGGAGAAAGAUUUAUCGGAGAUGGAUGAGCCCGCGUUGGAUUAGCUAGUUGGUGGGGUAAAGGCCUACCAAGGCGACGAUCCAUAGCUGGUCUGAGAGGAUGAUAAGCCACACUGGGACUGAGACACGGCCCAGACUCCUACGGGAGGCAGCAGUGGGGAAUAUUGGACAAUGGGCGCAAGCCUGAUCCAGCCAUGCCGCGUGAGUGAUGAAGGCCUUAGGGUUGUAAGGCUCUUGCACCGGUGAAGAUAAUGACGGUAACCGGAGAAGAAGCCCCGGCUAACUUCGUGCCAGCCGCCGCCGUAACAC
rnacentral:rRNA from 1 species